CCAUCUCAGAAAAAAAAUUAAAAAAAUAAAAUAAAAUAAAAGACAGUAGCUCUCAUUAAGUGUACAACAAUAAUAGAAAGAGUAUCUUUCUGGAUCAAGUAAGUAGUUAUUCUUAAGUAAUUGUGGAUUUAUAGAAGGUUUUCCCCAAAUUAGCUGUUUCUCAUCUAUUUUUAUAGAGGAAAUUAUAUUUUAAUCAUGCAAAAAAUGAUCAUUCUAUAAUAUGCUAGAUUUUCCCACAUAUAGGUUGAACACUGGAGAGAAGUUUCUGUUGGUUGGUUGACUUUCAGGCAGCAAAUCUAUCCAACAAUGCCAUUAGAAAGCCAAGAUCCAGAAUACAGUACUGCAGUCUAUGGCCAUACCACCCUGAACGUGCCCAAUCUCAUCAGAAUACACUACUGCAUUGUUUGAUAGGGGCCUUUGACAGCAUCUAAGCUGUAAACGAAAGUUUGGUUGAGCCCCUGCUAAUGCUAUUCUCUCAAUCAUCAGAUCAAAGUCAUGGAGCAGGAGGAGUAUUUGAGCCUUAGGAGGCGAAAGAAUGACAAGUGAAAGUAGUUAGACCAAAAAAGAAUAAGAGGGUCAGAUUUGUGUCUUGAAGUAUCCUCUUUUGUGCAAAACUGUCACUGUAUCCUACUAAAAUACUCCAAGAAGGGACGAGAAAAGGAGUACCUCCCUCUGGUGGUGAGGAAUUUUAUAUCACAGAUGAGAUUUGUUUUAAUUCUAGAGGAAAUAAAUCUCCUGACAUCUAGCUUAUAAUUACGGGAAACUCAAGGAGAACUUUCUGAAGAUUGAAAUCUGUAAGAAAGUAGAUUUCCAGAAAAGAAGUUCCCUCCUGUGAACAGAAAAAAGGACGUAUGGGAAAACACCAGGCUACAUCUUUAUACAUGUGCUGUUGACGAAAAACAAAUGCCGCGUUUUCUCAGGAAGGAGUCAGCUGGACUCUUGGCAGCACCUCUUGACCGAAGUUUUGGUGGAAAGUGGAGACCAGGUGCUAACAACUAUUGAUUGAUAACUGACGUUGAGAGGAUCUUAGCAGGCAGGAGGAGGCAAGGCCUCAGAUCUGCGCCCUUAUGAUGUGCUGUGGCAGAUUCUCUUGUCAAGAGGUGAAGCCUAUUUCUCAAUCCCGAGAAUCUGGGUUGGCCUGUGACUUGCUUGGCCGAUGGAACAUUAGCAGGAAUAAUGCAGCACAGGCCUGGAAAUCACUUGUGCAUUGGGACUUGCUCUCUCGCUACAUUUGUUACCCUGAGAACACUAUGUGAACAAGCCCAAGGUGGCCUGCUGGAGGGAUAGAGGCCACGUGGAGGAGAAGCAAGGUGCUCUAGCUAAUAGCCAGCCAGUGGUCAGGUGCGUGAAUGAGACCGUCCUAGGACCAGCCAGCCUCCCAGCUGACCUGACAAUUCACCACAGACACACGAGUGAGCCCAGUCAAAGCCAGUAGAACUGCCUGGCCCAAAUUGCCAACCCAUAGAAUCAUGAGCUACAUACACAUAAAUGCUUACUGUUCUAAGCCAUAAGUUUUGGGAUGGGGCCAGGCAAUGGCUCAUGCCUGUAAUCCCAGCAGUUUGGGAGGCCGAGGCAGG
rnacentral:lncRNA from 1 species